CCUACGGGAGGCAGCAGUGGGGAAUAUUUCACAAUGGGGGAAACCCUGAUGCAGCGACGCCGCGUGAGUGAAGAAGUAUUUCGGUAUGUAAAGCUCUAUCAGCAGGGAAGAAAAUGACGGUACCUGAUUAAGAAGCCCCGGCUAACUACGUGCCAGCAGCCGCGGUAAUACGUAGGGGGCACGCGUUAUCCGGAUUUACUGGGUGUAAAGGGAGCGUAGACGGCCGCACACGUAUGGAGUGAAAGGUCGGGGCUUAACCCCGUAGCGUCUUUGGAAACUGGGCAGCUAGAGUGCAGGAGAGGUGAGUGGAAUUCCUAGUGUAGCGGUGAAAUGCGUAGAUAUUAGGAGGAACACCAGUGGCGAAGGCGGCUUACUGGACUGUAACUGACGUUGAGGCUCGAAAGCGUAGGGAGCAAACAGGAUUAGAUACCCGGGUAGUC
rnacentral:rRNA from 1 species